CCCACCUCUUCCCAUUCCGAACAGAGAAGUUAAGCCCGCCUGCGCCGAUGGUACUGCAAUGCAAUGUGGGAGAGUAGGAGGCCGCCACUU
rnacentral:rRNA from 1 species